rnacentral:tRNA from 1 species
AGCCUUGUGGUGUAAGAGCACACUGAAUUGCAAAUUCAUAUGUGUAGAUUAAAAUCUACCGGGGCUU